AGCCUACUGUAUGGUGACUAAUAGGAAGAUUUUUUGCUGGUGUACCUGUAAACCUUGUGUUGAAUCUUUUCCAGCAUUCAUUGUCUGUUACCUGGCGACGGAGCUCCUCCCGCCGGGGUUUAAGGUCCAUCAGCUGAAUCAUCAUUUGGCCUGGUAGACUUCCUGUUUAGACGGUCUGGAGUCAACAUGCAGAGUCAGAAAAAGCAAGAUUCACCAGGCUGAAAGAAUUAUCAGACUGCAUGCUUCUUCUCAUUGGUGACCAAUGAAGGAUUAAUGACCUGAUGUUAAUAUCCAUCUCCGGGGACCUGAUCACAAGUGGACGCCUCUGAGCAAGGGCAGGAUUUGGAGAUGUUUGGAGACGACUUCAGCCGCCCGUUGACGUCCUCCGAACCGUCUGCAGCGCCACGGGGACGCGUGGAACACGGGUGCCGGGCGCUCGCGUGGCAGGAGCGACAGGUGUCGAGUCGGGCUUGCUCUGGAAGUUCAGCGACGGCCAGCGACGGCACGUUUAAUUAGAGGUGGUCCCUCCUGCCGGCAGACAGCUGAGCAGCUUCACCACUCGCGUUCGGAGUCAAAUGAAGGUAAAAGCGAACGAGGCCAAGAGGUAGUGAGGCAGCAGAGCAAAAACACACGGCGGCGGGGGGCAUGCUGGGAUAGCUCAUGUUGAAAUGAUAAGAGUCCUGUGACGUCUGGUAAGGCACCCCCCACUCACAGCUAAAGGAAAACCAAAGGAAGCUCAUUUCUAGCUGUAAGAAGUAAAGUGGGCUUCUGUUUUCGUACAGCACUCAGACUGUGUUCAUAACCUCAGCCGCCACGCGACCGACUGGGAUUUUUGAAUGUCUGUCCGUUGCUGUGUAUUACUUCUUUAGCCGUGGGAGAGAAAACUGCUACUGUCUUUUAAUAUGAAGUGUGAUCGCUGGAGACUGAGAAUGGCACAACAUUCGUUCAGCAGGAGAAAAAUCUUUACAAAGAUAAAUCCUGCUGACAUUACAAGAUGUUGUCUGCAGUAUCUGUUUUUUUUUGACGUCACGUUAUCGGAAGGUAUUUUAUUAAUUAUUUUAUAUUCUUAUAUUAUGCUGUGAAUAUACAAGACCAAAAUA